rnacentral:lncRNA from 1 species
CUGGGGCCAGAGCUACGUGAACUUCAGGGAUUCAUCCGAACUUCCAUUGAGCCCCCUUGAUACAAGCAAAAAACUUUAUUCUGUGGCAAAGAGGAUGCAAACUUUCACGCAAAGGGUCUCAUGGUUUUGGGUUUGAGACCUAUUCAUGACAGUUUUUUUAUUUUUUUUGCAUCCGAUAUUUGAACCGCUAAAUCUUGUCUGCGCCAUUGUGACCAACCGCUAGCUAACAUUAUCAAAAUGCCCAUGAGUUUAGUAGUAGUAGUUUUCUUUUCCCCUUCUCCCCUAGGAUAUUCUUUUCCAAAUUGAGAAAAUUGUGAGUACUCUCUUUGGGUGGCAUGGAUGAUAUAGAAAA